rnacentral:tRNA from 1 species
GGGCCCAUAGCUCAACUGGCAGAGCAACUGACUCUUAAUCAGUAGGUUGUAGGUUCGAUUCCUACUGGGCUCA